rnacentral:rRNA from 1 species
CACCGCCACGGUAAUACGGAGGGUGCAAGCGUUAAUCGGAAUUACUGGGCGUAAAGCGCACGCAGGCGGUCUGACAAGUCAGAUGUGAAAUCCCCGGGCUUAACCUGGGAACUGCAUUUGAAACUGUCAGGCUGGAGUCUUGUAGAGGGGGGUGGAAUUCCAGGUGUAGCGGUGAAAUGCGUAGAGAUCUGGAGGAAUACCGGUGGCGAAGGCGGCCCCCUGGACAAAGACUGACGCUCAGGUGCGAAAGCGUGGGGAGCAAACAGGAUUAGAUACCCCUGUAGUCCCUGUCUCUUAUACC